CUUUAUCAAAUAUCGAUGUAAAUCAUGCAUUUAAAUUUGAUGCUGAUUAGUUGAUUGUAAAAAAUCAGGAGGAAAUCAAAUUAAACCAAUCAUUACCAUAACUAAUUUGUGUAUUUAACUGUGGUUUAACAAGCUGGUUUCAUUUCCUAUUCAACAUUUUCAUUCUUCUUGGGUAACCAGAUAAAAAACCGAUCUCUUGUAAUGGCUAAAGGAGUUGCCGCUCUUUUGGUUAGCCUUUGUUUCAACUUCUGUGUUGCCGUUGUUUCUAGUGAUGUAGAUGAUAGUACAGUAAUAAUUAUCAUGACAACAAGGAAAGAAUCAUUCAUGUAAACACAUUCAUCUGACGUGACAUCAAAGUGACAAAAGAUUGACACAGCAAUUUUCCAACAAGUUUUACUUGUAUUUGUAAUGAGCAAGGUCAAAGUUUCCCUUUAUGGUUUGUUUUAUUCACCAUCAUCAUCAACAACAACAUCAUCGUUUUCAUCAUCAUCUUGUUCAAAUCAUUUUAAAACAAUCUUGAGUAGGAGAGCAAAUCAAAAGUGUUGAUAACGGAUAAAACUAUUUCUCUCUUCAUUGCCAGUUCUAUCAGCAUUAUUCAAUUGUUUACCUGAUGGUGGUUAGUAGCUGUUGCUACCUAUUUGCUUAUAGUUAGUCAAUGGGUUAACUAAGUCAAGGUUUGAUGUCAGCCUGUUGAAUGCUUUAAAUAUUAUAAUUUGAUAAGAGAUACAAGUUGAAAAGAAAUUAGCGUCAACAAGCCUCAGACGAUGAACAAAAAAAGCUGAUUUCUACUCUACAUGAUUGUUGAUAAACUCUUUCUUUUUUCACCUUUGCUGGUGGCUAAACUCGUCUUCUGUAAGAUGAUGAGUAGAAAAAUGUUUGCAACUCUUUGUUUGCUUUAACAUUUUUUCUUCUCUCCUCAACCAACUUUGAGGUACUGAAAGUGAUCACAGAUUAUAAUAAGGGUGAUGAUGAUGGUUAUUGCGAUGAUGAUAAUAAUGAUGGUGAUGGUGAUGGUGAUUGAUUGUCUAUUCCAAUUGAUAAAUUUUUAAAAUCAUCCAAGGAUGACCAAUUUUCAAGGAAAGAAGAGAAGAGCAAAGAUCAAUUUCCAAAUUAUAUAUAAUGAAGGAAAGGAGCAUUUCAAGGAUUACCUGGAAGAAAAGGUUAACAUACAUAAAAAAAGUGGAUGGAAAAGAUUGAUGAUGGUUUGACCAACAACCAAUGAUCCAAGCCUCAUCAUUAUCUUCUCAGCCCCUUUCCUACUCUUGAUAAUUCAACAGGCCAUUUCAUCAUCGUUUCAUUUUGCCGGAAUUAACAUAAAUUUUGAUUUAUACGUUGACACAUUAGAGAUUAAAAAACGAAACAUCAGUCCACUAGAAACGCAGUGGACAAGGAAUAUAAAGAAACAUUUGACCAUUUUCAGCUUAACAAGAGGUUACAAAAAUUACCAGAUUGAGUGAAGCUAAUUUAUAAUGAUUUGGAGAGACCAAAUGAAGUAGGUUUUGGAGGCAAUUUGAUGAAUCCAAUGGCUUUUGUACGAAAAUUUGAAACUCACACCACUUAUCCAUUUGGAUGUUAAUGAUGUUGAUGAUGGCUGGUAAUUCAACAGAUAAAAUCAAUCAAAUAUCAAGAUACAAAUCCAACCAGAAUCAUGAUAAAUUGAUUAACCAGUGCAUGGGUUACAUUGAUGAAUUUUUAAUCAGCAAAUCAUCGUGCUAAUUUAAGCUGAGGCUCUUCUACACUUUAAAUUGAUAUGAAAUUCACAACCCAUAAGUUAUUUAAGGGUAAAAUUAAAACAGAGGUUUUCAUUAAUAA